rnacentral:rRNA from 1 species
GGGUUGUGAGGUUAAGCGACUAAGCGUACACGGUGGAUGCCCUGGCAGUCAGAGGCGAUGAAGGACGUGCUAAUCUGCGAUAAGCGUCGGUGAGGUGAUAUGAACCGUUAUAACCGGCGAUUUCCGAAUGGGGAAACCCAGUGUGUUUCGACACACUAUCAUUAACUGAAUCCAUAGGUUAAUGAGGCGAACCGGGGGAACUGAAACAUCUAAGUACCCCGAGGAAAAGAAAUCAACCGAGAUUCCCCCAGUAGCGGCGAGCGAACGGGGAGGAGCCCAGAGCCUGAAUCAGUGUGUGUGUUAGUGGAAGCGUCUGGAAAGGCGCGCGAUACAGGGUGACAGCCCCGUACACAAAAAUGCACAUAUUGUGAGCUCGAUGAGUAGGGCGGGACACGUGGUAUCCUGUCUGAAUAUGGGGGGACCAUCCUCCAAGGCUAAAUACUCCUGACUGACCGAUAGUGAACCAGUACCGUGAGGGAAAGGCGAAAAGAACCCCGGCGAGGGGAGUGAAAAAGAACCUGAAACCGUGUACGUACAAGCAGUGGGAGCCUCUUAAUGGGGUGACUGCGUACCUUUUGUAUAAUGGGUCAGCGACUUAUAUUCUGUAGCAAGGUUAACCGAAUA